CUCCAAUGCAAUAACACAGGAGAAGUUGGCCAGCCACCGCCACAACACUGAAAGGCCACCAUAUCUCCAAACACCAUCGACAAAGAAUCACAGAAUCGAGAGAAUCUGGCCAGAAAUUAACAACCGAGUUAACUACCCAUUGAAAGCUGCAUUGGUCGAACUGGUGGAUCAGGAGGAGCUGGACAUGGAGGACCAGAUGACUCGGUUCUGUGUGUCAUCUUUGACAUGCCAGUUGGCCCAGAUCGGUGUUAACCGAACUGUGCAAGCAUGGAAUGCACACAGGAUUCCUGGGAGGGGGAUACCAAAUUACUUGGCCAGAGAUGGAUGCCCAAAUAAGCUGUCGACAGACCUUUUGCCAAAUGCAUCUGUGGCUGCAGACUGGUACGACCAGGAAGUGGGCUCACUGACAGAGUGUCAGACUUUGGCACCAACCCGUUUCCAAGUUUACAGGACCAGGAAGCUGCAGUGAGGGGAUUUGCUCUGCAGUGCCCUGAUACAAGUGGACUGCUGGACAAUGCAGUGAAUAAUCUGCCACAACCGUUCAAAGAUGGACUCAAAGGCCUCAUCGACAUCUCAAGGAGAAGUUGUCAACGCUGAUGUUUUUUUGUGUGUCUAAGUUGUUAUUGUCUGUGCUUUUUAAUUAAUUGGUUCAACUGACGGGAUGUUUUUUUCUUUUCUUCAAAUGUUGGGGGUUUAAAGGGAGAAAUAUGUUCUUUUUGAAUAAACACUUCUGUC